GAAAUGCUCAACUUACGCCCAAGAUUGACUCUAAUUCUUCACAUAAACCAUGUUCUCUUUCCCAAAAAUCUUGGUUUCGCUAGGAGUGCAGUAAAGGGAAUGUUGGAAGAAGUGUAGAUAUCAUGGCCACAGGCCAGUGGGCUAGAACCUUGAAGCCUGGCAAGGAUUAUGAGACUGGAAACUCCCAUUGAGACUACCAAAUGAAGAGAAAGUUUCAGACUGUUUAACUCGGACUAAGGGAAAAGAAGCAAAUUACAACAAGGAGAAUAUUGCUGAGAAAGCAAAGACAAGUGAAAAGUCGAGUGAAGAAAAAGCAAACAAGGCUUCACGAUCUGCAACUAGGCCACUGGCGAUGAAGAAGAAAAAUGUACAGCUAAAGAAGAUACAUUAGUGACCAACUAAAGCUGGGCAACUUAUAUUGGAUUGACAAGGUGCAGGGGGGAUAUUGAUUUGGGUCUGUUUAUCUUUCUGUUUGUCUGUAACACUUCGUUCUCUUUACAUUUCCAAAAAGCCAUCAGACAUUGCAAUGACAUUUUAUAUUAUAAAUCAUUUUGACGAUCCCACUGCAGAACAUGAUUAAUCAUCAAUACAAAUUUAAUAUUGUUUAUAAAUUAAAUAUUACCCUUAUAUAUUUUGAAGUGAAAUGGUCAGAGGUCAAGGCCUCUUUUGGGGGCACAUAUUGUUUUUGCCUGUCUGUUUAUCUGCCUAUUGCCAAUUUACCUUUUGCCAUAACUUUUGAAUCAUGAGAGAUAUAGAUACUUCAUAUUGGGUAUGCUUACUCCACUUUCAAAUGAGACCAAGACCAAUGACCUUGACUGUCAUCGUUAUGCUAAAAUAUAGCCUUAUUGAAUCUUUUAUUUUUGAACCAAAAGAGGUAGAGAUUUUAUAUUGAGUAUCCAUACUCCACUAAUUAAGUUCUUUCAAAUUACAUCAAGGUUAAUGACCUUGUGACUUUGACCUAUAUGUUUUUGGUUUUUUUUUUCAAACUUUGUUGCCACCAGGUGCAUACUGUUUUUGUUUUUUUUAGGGGGGGGGGUGUUAUGAAUUAGUUCUGUUUGGUAUCUGAAUCUUUUAUUGUACAGAAUUCUUCAGAAGUGAUGAACCCUGAGGGCCUCACCCCUACUCUCUACACUAGGUUGUUGAUUUAAAUAUUUUUUUUAUUAUUAUUAAUAUUUGUCAUUGUACAUGUAUAUCAUAAAUAUUCUAUGAGAGCUGCUUCAGAAUGUAUUAACAUAGUUUGAAAAUAAGACAAUCUGUUUCCCCCCUUGUGUGUAAAUCAUGAUGUUGAAUCAUAACUGCACUAUAAUGUUACAGCAGUAAAAUUGUAAAGAAUUUGUUGUAUCAGAUACCAUCAGCAUUUUUAAAAAAUUAUUUUAUGUAUUAUUUUUUCUGUGUGGCCAUGAAUUUUUAUAAUGCAUACAUUCAUUAAAUUUUUUUCA